rnacentral:rRNA from 1 species
CCAAUAGCGUAUAUUAAAGUUGUUGCAGUUAAAAAGCUCGUAGUUGAAUUUCGGGAUCAGUACGCUGGUCGUGCCUCUGGUAUGUACUGGUGUCACUGAUUCCUCCCUUCUGACGAACCAUCAUGCCAUUCACUUGGUGUGGUGGGAAAUCAGGACUGUUACUUUGAAAAAAUUAGAGUGUUUAAAGCAGGCUCACGCUUGAAUACAUUAGCAUGGAAUAAUGAAAUAGGACGUUGAUCCUAUUUUGUUGGUUUCUAGGAUUGACGUAAUGAUUAAUAGGGAUAGUUGGGGGCAUUAGUAUUCAAUUGUCAGAGGGGAAAUUCUUGGAUUUAUUGAAGACUAACUACUGCGAAAGCAUUUGCCAAGGAUGUUUUAAUUAAUCAAGAACGAAAGUUAGGGGAUCGAAGACGAUCAGAUACCGUCGUAGUCUUAACCAUAAACUAUGCCGACUAGGGAUCGGAUGAUGUUAAUUUUUUAAUGACUCAUUCGGCGCCUUACGA